rnacentral:lncRNA from 1 species
UUCUAUGCAUCCCUUUGAUUUGUGCACCAUCAGAUGACACCUAGGGACAUGUGGGUGUGGAAUAUAUGGAGGAGUCCUUCUCUUGGAAGAAACUCCAUGCCAAGAAUUGAAUUGUGACAUCCCUUGUAUUUGGGCGAUGACAUAUGAAGAGUCCACGUCACAUGGAACUCUUAAUUCUUCCUUUUAUUUCACGGACCAUUUGAUGGUUUCUGAUUUUUAUGGG